AAUAUUUGUAUCCAACCUCAGAUUGAUACAUGGGGGUUCUAGUAGUGUUGAUUACAUCUUAUACUUGAAGUUAGUAGGUUUAUUGGUGUAAGGUUAUAUAUUCAGAUUGUUAGUCACUUAUUUAUCUUAUCUAGUCAUGAACACGAGUAUGAUUUUGUGAGUAUUUCUAUAUGUUCUUGAGGACAUGGGAGAAAUCUUGUCAUAAGUAAUCAUGUGAAGUUGAUUUUCGUUUAUUUUUUGAUGAUAUGUUGUGUUGUUCUUCCUCUAAUGGUGUCAUGUACUCAUGUGAAUGUCGACUACAUGACACAUCAUCAUGUUUUGUCCUAGGGAAAGGCAUUGUGAAAUUAGUUUGUAGAUGAUGGGUUGCGGGAAUGAUUGAAACCUAAAUCUCAGUUUAUGAAUUAUUCCGUAAGGGGCUAUUUUGGAUUCAUAUGUUUAAUAUUAUGGCUAGAU
rnacentral:lncRNA from 1 species